rnacentral:rRNA from 1 species
UACGUAGGGGGCAAGCGUUGUCCGGAUUUAUUGGGCGUAAAGCGCGUGUAGGCGGCCAGGUAGGUCGGUUGUGAAAAUUGGAGGCUCAACCUCCAGACGUCGAUCGAAACCAUCUGGCUAGAGUCCGGAAGAGGAGAAUGGAAUUCCCGGUGUAGCGGUGAAAUGCGCCAGAUAUCGGGAAGAACACCCGUGGCGAAGGCGGUUCU